rnacentral:rRNA from 1 species
UACGUAGGGGGCAAGCGUUGUCCGGAAUCAUUGGGCGUAAAGCGCGUGUAGGCGGUUCGGUAAGUCGGCUGUGAAAGUCCAGGGCUCAACCCUGGGAUGACCGGUCGAUACUGCCGGACUAGGAGUUCGGAAGAGGCGAGUGGGAAUUCCCGGUGUAGCGGUGAAAUGACGCAGAGUAUCGGGAGGAACACCAAUGGCGAAG